CGCUCCGGAGAAGCCGCAUGCUGCGGUGCCGAAGGUGCAAAGACCCGCAGGGUCGAAUCUCUCAGGCAAAAGGACGGAGACGGAA
rnacentral:ncRNA from 1 species